rnacentral:rRNA from 1 species
UACGUAGGGACCAAGCGUUGUUCGGAUUUACUGGGCGUAAAGGGCGCGUAGGCGGCGCGGUAAGUCACUUGUGAAAUCUCUGAGCUUAACUCAGAACGGCCAAGUGAUACUGCAGUGCUAGAGUGUGGAAGGGGCAAUCGGAAUUCUUGGUGUAGCGGUGAAAUGCGUAGAUAUCUGGAGGAACACCGGUGGCGAAGGCGGCAUCCUGGACCAACACUGACGCUGAGUGAGCGAAAGCCAGGGGAGCAAACGGG